GUCUACGGCCAUGCUGCCCUGAACAAGCCUGAUCCUGUCUGAUUUCCAUAGCUAAGCAGGGUCGGGCCUGGUUAGUACUUGGAUGGGAGACCACCUAGAAAGACCAGGUGCUGUAGGCA
rnacentral:rRNA from 1 species